ensembl:lncRNA
UCCCAGUUUCCAUCCUGUUCAUAUUUUCCAAGGCCGUUUUCUUGUUUUCCUGAUGCCAAAAAAUGCAUAUUGGGAAAGAGGAACAUAACUCACAUAGCAGAAAUCCGAAAUAAUCACUGCUGCUCACGGAGUGCAAUCCUGGCGCUGCCAGCCCACGCUGCGGUCCUGUGUUCCACAUGCUGAUGGAUCUGUGCCACCACCUCAGAGGUUUUGGGGCCAUCCGUCCAACACUGGGGGCUCUGCUGCUCAGAGAGAUGAAGUUGUGUGGAUCCCAGCAGAGAGGAAAUUCCGCAUCGUCGCCCCAGGGAGAACGGGAAAGAAAACGGGGAGGAAAAACCUUUUGGUGCGACGAUGGGGAAUAACGCGAGCGCUGCGCGCUGCUGGGCUGGGAGCGAAGCACAGAGGCCGGGCAGAAGAGCGGCUGGGAUGGGAUACCGGGUGGGCUGCAUGCAGAACGGGCCCGUACGCUGCAUGCGCUACGAGGGGGGCUGCAGGAAGCGCUGUUUGCGGGCUCCGGCCUCCAGGUGGCAGGCAGAGGCCGGGGUGCUUCUGGCCGUGCGUCCUCCGACGAAAGCCCGAGGUGGUAUCGAUGCGGGUAAAUAACCGGCACGGACAAACGGUGCCGGAUCCUUCAGAGCUUUACCCCGGCUUUGCACCCUUUAUCCCCGUGCAUUUCAGUUCGCAGGUGAUGCCACCUGGGUGUUUUUUCUAUCUCCACGCCAGCAUUUUUCCUCUACUUCAGCGUUCCCAGAGGUGCGUUCCUUGUUGCCAUCCCACGGCACCUAUCGCGGCUCCCAUCCUCCUCAACAGACCGUGCACCGACCUGCAGCACCACACUGAGAUAAGGAGAGGGCUCUGGGAUGAAUAAGCUGAGAACAGGGAGCCCCAUUGCUGCCCCUGAAGGCACCUUCCUUCGGUACCAGGAUCUCAGCAGAAGGAGGUGGGGCUGCCAGGCAGGAGGUGCCCCUGCGAGGCACCACUGGGACGGAACCGGCUCACCUUUCCAGGAUCACUUCCCAGGGAAGCAAAUUGCACACGAAAAGUAUUUGAUUCGAGUUCAUAGCCAAGAAAAAAAAAAAAGAAAUCACAGAACAAACAUCUCCCCUGCUUGAAGGGCCCUCUUCAAGUGUCAGAAACGAAACAGAGCAGGAUGAUUAACACUGGCAUCCUGGUGCCCCACUGCUGAGCUCAGAUAGAUGAGACCCCAUUCCUCCCCCAGGUCACCUCUGUGUUUUUGGGGUUGGCCUUGGGACAGGGCCAUUGGCCAAGACAGAGAUGGUUCAUUCCCUCAGGGAGAUGCAGUGCUGUACCAUUUGUUAUUAGUAACACCCGUCUCAUUCUCAGUGCUGUUUGGGCACUGUGUGCCACGGAGCAGAUGGGGCUCAUUUGAAGCCCUCCAGAUCACAGGGGUCCAUGUGCAACUGAUAAAGGCCCACUGGGGGGGAGGGAAGGG